rnacentral:tRNA from 1 species
GCCGCCGUUGGCGAAGGUGACCGCGGCGACCUCCAGCGUCUUCGGCCCGUCGGCGCGCCCGCCGGAGGGUUCGUCACUGUCGCGGCGGUUCC